CAAAACAUAGCUUAACCAAAGCCCCUCGCUUACACCGAGAAAAUGUCUGUUAAACCCAGACUGUUUUGA
rnacentral:tRNA from 1 species